rnacentral:rRNA from 1 species
UACGAAGGGGGCUAGCGUUGCUCGGAAUCACUGGGCGUAAAGCGCACGUAGGCGGCUUUCUAAGUCAGGGGUGAAAUCCUGGAGCUCAACUCCAGAACUGCCUUUGAUACUGGGAAGCUCGAGUCCGGAAGAGGUGAGUGGAACUGCGAGUGUAGAGGUGAAAUUCGUAGAUAUUCGCAAGAACACCAGUGGCGAAGGCGGCUCACUGGUCCGGUACUGACGCUGAGGUGCGAAAGCGUGGGAGCAAACAGG